ACAGCCCCGUACACAAAAGCGCAUGUGCUGUGAGCUCGAUGAGUAGGGCGGGACACGUGGUAUCCUGUCUGAAUAUGGGGGGACCAUCCUCCAAGGCUAAAUACUCCUGACUGACCGAUAGUGAACCAGUACCGUGAGGGAAAGGCGAAAAGAACCCCGGCGAGGGGAGUGAAAAAGAACCUGAAACCGUGUACGUACAAGCAGUGGGAGCACAGGUUUACCUGUGUGACUGCGUACCUUUUGUAUAAUGGGUCAGCGACUUAUAUUCUGUAGCAAGGUUAACCGAAUAGGGGAGCCGGAGGGAAACCGAGUCUUAAUUGGGCGUUAAGUUGCAGGGUAUAGACCCGAAACCCGGUGAUCUAGCCAUGGGCAGGUUGAAGGUUGGGUAACACUAACUGGAGGACCGAACCGACUAAUGUUGAAAAAUUAGCGGAUGACCUGUGGCUGGGGGUGAAAGGCCAAUCAAACCGGGAGAUAGCUGGUUCUCCCCGAAAGCUAUUUAGGUAGCGCCUCGUGAAUUCAUCUCCGGGGGUAGAGCACUGUUUCGGCUAGGGGGCCAUCCCGGCUUACCAACCCGAUGCAAACUGCGAAUACCGGAGAAUGUUAUCACGGGAGACACACGGCGGGUGCUAACGUCCGUCGUGAAGAGGGAAACAACCCAGACCGCCAGCUAAGGUCCCAAAGUCAUGGUUAAGUGGGAAACGAUGUGGGAAGGCCCAGACAGCCAGGAUGUUGGCUUAGAAGCAGCCAUCAUUUAAAGAAAGCGUAAUAGCUCACUGGUCGAGUCGGCCUGCGCGGAAGAUGUAACGGGGCUAAACCAUGCACCGAAGCUGCGGCAGCGACGCUUAUGCGUUGUUGGGUAGGGGAGCGUUCUGUAAGCCUGUGAAGGUGGCCUGUGAGGGUUGCUGGAGGUAUCAGAAGUGCGAAUGCUGACAUAAGUAACGAUAAAGCGGGUGAAA
rnacentral:rRNA from 1 species